rnacentral:rRNA from 1 species
CUUCAACGGAGAGUUUGAUCCUGGCUCAGGAUGAACGCUGGCGGCGUGCUUAACACAUGCAAGUCGAACGAUGAUCCGGUGCUUGCACCGGGGAUUAGUGGCGAACGGGUGAGUAACACGUGAGUAACCUGCCCUUAACUCUGGGAUAAGCCUGGGAAACUGGGU